UUUACUUAUAAUAAAAUGUUAAAAAUAAUUAUCUAUUGACAAUUUUACGUUCAGUCAGAAGUUUUGUGCAUGCCUACAACAUGAACUGUUAUACAAUUCUUGUUUACAACAGUUGACAACUGUCAACUUGUUGACACUCGUGACAACCAUAAUCUUCUAGUCAUUACAGCCGAAAACUGUUCCAGCGGAUCACUAUAAUUUUAUAAUUGCAAACUUGUUAUUGUAGAUGCAUGCACGUUUAGAUAUGUUGCUAUCAAUGAUUACUUGUUUACAACACUAAUGCCGGAACAAACCUAUUAUCAUUUUGUUUCAUUAAAACACCGUGCACCGUACUGCCAUAUAAAUGAUACUGUUACUAC